AAUGAUUCACAAGAUGAUGAGCGUGGCAAUCUCGGCGGGCUCGCUAAAGUCAGGGGAAGGAGAGAAACAAUGGGGAGCAUAACAUGGAUGUGGGGCAGGAGAGGCCGUGGUCGGAGCGGCAUUGCGUGGGCAUAUUGGGUAUUAUUUGAGCUGAUACUCCAUUUUCUUACAAGAGAUGUGGUCCCAUCAAUGUUGGCUGUCGAAUUUGUGCUGCAGUCCAUGCCCACCACGUCCGAGUCUUCGCCCCUUCGUCAUCCAACACAAACAGCAGAACAGAGUAGCAGUUGUGAUUUGCCAGGUUGGAGAACUGACGCAGCUUGCUGUCACGGAGUGCUCGCCCUUCUUCUGUGCCAUAAAGCCCCUCGGUCGAAACUUGCAAAUCAAAAUUGCCGACCCUGUCAAUCUCGCUGGAACGACGUCUAGCUCGUUGUGCUCCACUCACUCUAACGGCAUAUCUCAUAACUAAAGCUAUGAACAAGUGCUUCAGUUAUGCUGGUGGCAAUACAUUGCUUGAGGUGACCUCGUGUGCAAGAUUAUCCCCAUGGAGGGCGCUGGCACGGAGACAUUUGCUCACAUCAGUACUAUGUAUGCAUUAUUAUUUUGUA